ACGGAAGGCAGCAGUGGGGAAUAUUGCACAAUGGGCGAAAGCCUGAUGCAGCGACGCCGCGUGAGUGAAGAAGUAUCUCGGUAUGUAAAGCUCUAUCAGCAGGGAAGAAAAUGACGGUACCUGACUAAGAAGCCCCGGCUAACUACGUGCCAGCAGCCGCGGUAAUACGUAGGGGGCAAGCGUUAUCCGGAUUUACUGGGUGUAAAGGGAGCGUAGACGGUUUGGCAAGUCUGAAGUGAAAUGCGGGGGCUCAACUCCUGAACUGCUUUGGAAACUGUCGAACUAGAGAGCAGGAGAGGUAAGUGGAAUUCCUAGUGUAGCGGUGAAAUGCGUAGAUAUUAGGAGGAACACCAGUGGCGAAGGCGGCUUACUGGACUGUAACUGACGUUGAGGCUCGAAAGCGUGGGGAGCAAACAGGAUUAGAUACCCUGGUA
rnacentral:rRNA from 1 species